UGGGGAAUAUUGCACAAUGGGCGCAAGCCUGAUGCAGCCAUGCCGCGUGUGUGAAGAAGGCCUUCGGGUUGUAAAGCACUUUCAGCGAGGAGGAAGGUGGUGAACUUAAUACGUUCAUCAAUUGACGUUACUCGCAGAAGAAGCACCGGCUAACUCCGUGCCAGCAGCCGCGGUGAUACGGAGGGUGCAAGCGUUAAUCGGAAUUACUGGGCGUAAAGCGCACGCAGGCGGUUUGUUAAGUCAGAUGUGAAAUCCCCGGGCUCAACCUGGGAACUGCAUUUGAAACUGGCAAGCUAGAGUCUCGUAGAGGGGGGUAGAAUUCCAGGUGUAGCGGUGAAAUGCGUAGAGAUCUGGAGGAAUACCGGUGGCGAAGGCGGCCCCCUGGACGAAGACUGACGCUCAGGUGCGAAAGCGUGGGGAGCAAACAGAUUAGAUACCCUGGUAGUCCACGCUGUAAAACGAUGUCGAUUUUGGAGGUUGUGCCCUUGAGGCGUGGNUUCCGGAGCUAACGCGUUAAAUCGACCGCCNGGGGAGUACGGCCNCAAGGUUAAAACUAAAUGAAUUGC
rnacentral:rRNA from 1 species